GUGAUUUUCUUUUUUUUUUAGGUUUUCUUGAUGGGAAUGUGGUUUACUGCUCACGGUUUUUUCUAUUUUUUUUUUUGGGGUGGAAUGUGGUUUCUAGGAUCCGGAUCUGGUAUUUUCUUUAAAUGCCGUUACAUCUUAUGCUCUUCUGGUUUCAUCGGAAGCAACUCUUCUCUUUGUCGUGAUUACAUGUGGGACAACAAUUGAUCAGGGGAUUGCUUACGUGCUGAUGUUGGUGGCCUUGGUCCUCACUUACCUCAUUCAUCCGCUCAACCCUGCUGAGCCUUCCUCUCUCUUCUGAAGAGAGAAACAGCCUCCCCCCCUCUCUCUUUCUCUAUGUAUCAAAAUGUCUGGUUGGUUGCACUCCUUUUGAUGGUUUUUGAUGGCUUGUCUGUGCUGUUAUUCUAUCUUUCUCUUGUGAGUUUUUUUGUUAUUUUUAUUUUAUGUUAAUUCACAUUGACUUGGUUGUUAUAGUUUUCUCUUGGAGGACCUCUAAGAGCUUAGGGCAGACAUUUAUUUUUUGGGCAGGCUUUUCUAUA